AGGACGAACGCUGGCGGCGUGCCUAACACAUGCAAGUCGAACGGACUGAUUCCUUCGGGAAUGAAAGUUAGUGGCGGACGGGUGAGUAACGCGUGAGCAACCUGCCUUUCAGAGGGGAAUAACGUUUGGAAACAGACGCUAAUACCGCAUAACGCACAGGAGUCGCAUGGCUUUUGUGCCAAAGGAGCAAUCCGCUGAAAGAUGGGCUCGCGUCCGAUUAGAUAGUUGGUGGGGUAACGGCCUACCAAGUCGACGAUCGGUAGCCGGACUGAGAGGUUGAACGGCCACAUUGGGACUGAGACACGGCCCAGACUCCUACGGGAGGCAGCAGUGGGGGAUAUUGCACAAUGGGCGCAAGCCUGAUGCAGCAACGCCGCGUGAGGGAAGACGGUUUUCGGAUUGUAAACCUCUGUCUUUGGUGACGAAGAAAUGACGGUAGCCGAGGAGGAAGCCACGGCUAACUACGUGCCAGCAGCGGC
rnacentral:rRNA from 1 species